GGUGACCUAUAUUUUUUAUUGUUGUUUUCGAAUAAGCUGUACAUAAACUAAAUAAUUGUAAAAUUGAAGCGAUUUCUGUAAUUUAUUUCUUUUUUUUUUGUUUCGAUAUUACCGCUUUUCUCCUAUUAGUUCAACAGAAAAAAAAGGACAUUUAAAAAAAUGUAUGCUUCUUUCGAAGGCAAAUUGUGAGCGUAAAUGAAUGGUGACCCC
rnacentral:lncRNA from 1 species